rnacentral:lncRNA from 1 species
UUAGCUCCUGAGAGAGAGAGAAGUGGGAGUAGUAGCUUUGGGCAGCAUAAGUGUCCGGAGGGGACAGGUGACCCUCGGAGCUACAAGUGCAAAUGUUUAGGCUCUGAUGCUGAAUCUUGAGAUAAUGAUGAAGCUGUGAAUAGACAUGAACUUUUCUAGGGAGAUACAGAAUACAAGGAGACAGACCACAACUGAGUGCUGGGAUCCUCGUAUGUGAGGCUACAGAAGAAAAGGAGAAGCUUGAGAAAAUACCGAAAAGGACUGGCAGGGCUGAGCAGGAAAACAGUAUGCUACCAUAGAAUCUGCGGAAGUCAGGAAGGAUGGCUGCGGAGAUGAGAGAGCUGGAGGGACUAAAUGCUGUGAGACCAGUUCAACCAGAAGAAGUUUACUGAGCACCGCAGGACAGUUCACAAGCUUUCGGCCUCCCUUGCACUGGGCAGUUCUCAGACUGAGCAGGGCGCUUCCUGGCACCAGCAGGACUGUUCUUAGCCCUGAAGAGAGAGCACUUUCCCAGCAGCCUAGGAGCAGGAGCGGCCUCAUCGCAGGCUGGACCCCCUUCCAUCUCGCCGGACCCAGAGAGGCAGCCGGGUAGCAGCGGAUCCCCACUUUCCAAUCACUGUCCUCUCUGGAACGUCAGGACCACCCCUUCGGGCUGCUGUCCUCUCACUUUGCUUCAGGUCCUCUAUUCCCCUCCCUCACUUCCCUGCCUCUAAAGCCAUGGCUCCUACCUGGCUGCAAAUCGCAGCCAUGGAGGAACUGUAUGAUAACUCAACGCGAAGCCCGUCCGGAAGUGAGACCAAGCACCUCCAGCGUCCAGCUCGCCAGGUGAUUCUGCAGCCCAGGGUUUCAAGUUUGUCCGGGCUGACUUCUGCAGUUGGGAUUCAACCGACCCUGAAUUUCAUAUGUGAAUAAACCAGAGAGGGUCCAUGUGCUGAGGAACUUGAACUAUUUCCACUUGAGGCCAUGAUAACCACUGUUGUCAAACUUACUGCUUCAUGCUUCUCUCAAGACUCAGAAGCCACAAAAUGCUCCAAAGUAAAUAUCCAA